GAGAAGUACAGACCUGAGUAUAAUGGAGACCUCUAGCCUCUAAUCAUGGGCACUAAAGGGGAUUGCAGACUUGAAGGGAUUGAACCAACUACUGCAAGUCAUGGGCAUUCAAUGUUUUGUAAGAGACAACCAGUCAAUUCAAAGAUGCAGGCAGGCGGAGAAGGAUGGCCAUGUUCGCCAAAGCAUAAUGGAAGAUGUUGAUGAAACCGCACUGUUGAAACAAAUGGAGCGGGAGAAAAUGCCUCCUCCUCCAAAGCCAAAGGAAACGUUUGUGAGUGAAAGGUGUUGCUAUUAAUCCUUACUCAGGAACAACCACCAUAAACCAAGAAUAUCCCAGGCCAACAAGGACAUAGUCGUUGUAUUCAAAGCUGCAAUAAAUAGAGAUUGACUCAUCCUGGGCUAUCUUCUUCUCCCAUUUCCUUAUGAGUCUGGGAAAGGUGGGUGACUGAGGCAUGGAGACUUGGAUGUAGGAAAGAGAAACCCUGAAAAGUGGAAAGCAGACAUGCAACAUUGGAGCAUGGCAUGCCCCCCACUGACAAGGUACUGGCAGCAAAAAAGAUCCAGUCCUGAUGGUGGGGCACGCUGGUGCAAUGCACACUACUGCACGUGACCCUCAGAGCUUUGAUCAUUCAGUGCUGGUGGAGGCAGGUGCUGGCAAGGCUGCAGGCGAAGAGGCAGCGGGCAGCACUGGAGCUCUGUGCACGGCAGCUAUGGGCAGCAGUCAGGCUGCAGUCCUGGGUCCGCAUGUGGCGUGUCCGCUGGCGUUACUGUCGUUUGCUCAACGCUGUCCGCAUCAUCCAGGUCUAUUGGCGCUGGAGAAGUUGCCAUACCCGUGGCUUUUUCCAUGGCAGCUACGAGCUCACAACAAGCCAGCUGAGCCUUGAGCUUGACAUCUUCCUGGGAUCACAUAUUUGCCGAAUUACAGACUGCAUCCCCUUCCCAAUAAAGAAGUGACAAGGUGCUCCAA